AAAAACAAUACGAGAUAUCACUAUGAUGUGAAUAACUUUAAGCAUUUUUACCACUUAACCGACAAAAUGUUUUCCGAAAAAAAAAAUUAUAUUACUGAUAAUUUUUUUUUUUUUUGUGAGUAUUAGUUUUACUUUCCAUGAACCCCCACCCAUGGAAACCAAAUGGAGGCAACCAAAUUACGGUGAAUACUAUAGUCUAAGUGAAUAUUUAAAAAAAGGAAACGCCGAAUUUUAUUAAUAAAAAUUAAUUUAACGACUUAAUACAAAAUGCUUAAUAGUACUAGAAUCCAAAUCUAAACUGAUUUAUCUAAAACUGAUACUGGUAUAGGACUUGAAGUUGUACAUCAAGACAAAACAAAUCAAUUCCAAUUAAACGUUAACAGUAAAAUUUUCACAACCGAAUACUUAGCACUUCUUAAAGGAACCGAAUUAGCCCUUA